GAGGGUAUAGCUCAAGUGGUAGAGUGCAUGCUUAGCAUGCAUGAGGUCCUGGGUUCAAUCCCUAGUACCUCCU
rnacentral:tRNA from 1 species